GGAAGCAACCCCUCUUCUCCUAACAGAGAGUCCCUGUAGGAGAGCAGGAGAGUAGAGUGGUGAGUCAAAGCGCUGGACCCGGAGGGAGAUGGGAUGGCACCUCAGACAGAGGUGGAACCCAACAGUGAAAGGUGAAGACUCCUGUGUAACACUUGGACAGAUUUUUCUUUUCUCUCUCCCCCCCCCCUUUUUUUUUUUUUUGUUGAAAUUUACUGAGGAUUGAAUGAACUUGUCCAAAGAGAUCUUUCUCUAUAUGAAGUAAUUUUUUUUUAAGACAAGGGAGGGUCUCAUUAAGUGGCCCAGGCUGACUUCAAACUCAUGAUCCUCCUGCCUCAGUCUCCAAAGUGCUGGCAUUACAAGUACAUAUCCCUGUGUCUGACUCAAAAUAGCAUUUUAAAAAACAAACAAACAAACAAAACAACUAAAUGGCCAGAUGGAAAGUAGUUUUACCAAAUUUAUGUGGUUUUUUUUGUUUUUUUGUUUUUUUUUUUUCUGAGAGGCUGCAGCUCAGACCGCCGAAAGGCUGGCUUGAGUGGUAAUGGGAGGGACAUUGGACCAUAGUGGCCUGCUUGCCUGAGGGAUGGCAGCUUAGCCAUUCUGUGUUUGUACUGUGGCAGCAGCAGAAGGCAUAGAAGUUAGCUCCAGAUGGUUCUGAGGAAAGAGAAAGGUUUCUUAAGGCAGAGUUGAGGCAGCCAGAAGCAGGCAUUCGCUGUGCUGUACCGUUCUGGCGAGGUUAGAACUUGGCUGUUCUGCUGGGGGCCAGGAGCAGGUUUGCCCCCUGGGAGCACACUAAUGGAUGGCUUCAUCUCCAAGGAAAACAGUGUCCCCCAAACAUGUUUUUCAGUCCACACCGUAUUCCUCACCUUCCCCUCCAGGAUUGAACCAAAGAUGCGUUUCCCGUUUUGUGACUGUGCCGCCCUGUGUGUCUUUUGUGGAACCCAGUGUUGUCUGAUCAUGUCCAGCUAGCACUUGAUGGAGGACUGCCUCUCUGUGGAUCCUGGGCCCUGGUACUUAGCAGGGGACGAUGAGUACCAUUGUCAGGAGGGGAAGACU
rnacentral:lncRNA from 1 species